rnacentral:tRNA from 1 species
AGUUAAAAACUAAUCGAAAGUAAUUAUGAUUUGAAACCAUAAAUUAAGGAGUUUAAUCCUCCUAUUAACUU